ensembl:lncRNA
AGACACUGCUCCUGAAGGACAGAAGAAAAUUCAGGGAGCCUUAUUUUAACCACAGUUCUGAGAGUUGUGUGAUUCCUUUCCAAACAACCUAUAUGCCUUCCAUCCACCUGGUUGCUGGGCCGCACCAGUAAGCACAGGUCGGCCCAGUUUUGUUUGGGCCUCUCCCCACCUUCACGUUUAUACAUUUGCAGCUAAAAUUAAAAUCUGUCUAAAAGUGAAGAUGAAGAUGUCUGAUGUUUAGACCGAACAAGAAGUUUGUGCAGCUUACCUUGGAUGAGGAGAACAAAGUCCUUAGCUCUGCAUGAGCAGUCCCAGGGAUUGUGGUCCAGCCAGAAGUGUGUGGAAUGCAGACCACGGAAGGCCUCUGGAUUUAUGUAGAUCAGCUCAUUACCUGACAGGUCCAAGUGGAUUAGGUUCCCCUGUGUUCGGAAACUUUCCGCCGCGAUGGUGCGGAUCUUAUUCCGAGAAAGGUUCAGGCUUCUGAGGCCUGAAAAACCCUGCAGCAUCUUCUCAUCCAGAAACUUUAGGCUGUUCUCAUGCAGGAUCAGGUUCUCCAGCAGGUUAGGCUGGGAAAGCCAGGUGCUGCUGAUGCAAGACAGGCUGUUUUGGUACAGAGUGAGUCUUCGGAGCUGCCGGAACGAGUAGAGGGCUUUGGGGCAGAUGGCGGUGAUCCCUGCAUUCGCCAUGGUCAGGCUGGACACAGAUGCCAGGGCUUCACUUGUGAACACUGUGGAAUUGAUCUCUCCAACAUUGUUCACCAGGAGCACAAGAGAGAUGUGCAAAUGUAGGUCCCAUCUUCCGGCACACAAGUGCCACGGCACAUCGAGGGCAAAGCCCCGCUUAGCAUGAGGACCAUGGCGAUGACUGCAAGCGCUGCUGAAAAACAGAACCCCGGUGAAACUGCAGAUACUCCUGCGAGCUCUCAAACACUUGCCAUGCUCAACUGAAAGAAACAGACACUCACGCUGCAUUGUAGUGUGACCCGAAACCUGCACUGUGUGCUGCGAUUGAGAGGUGGCCCUGCCAGUACCUCGACACUGGACUCUGCUUACUAUGCACUGGCCAGCUGUAACCAUGGUGCCUAUUCCUGCUUGGCCAUUGCCGUCACCAUGGAUACGAGCUGCUGUCCGUGCAUGACUAUGGCUGUUCCAGGUGGUCAGUGAAGUGGUCCACGUGUGCAGCAGGGCAGGAGGCAGACAAGGCCGAUCAGAGCCACGCGGCCCAGGUUGUCAAGAGGACCGAGUGUCAGAACUUUCAGCAAAAGCAAAAACAAACCGCAUAUUCUAGUACCGGUAAAUUCAUCUGCAUGGCUGCAUGUUUUGCAGGUAUUUAAAAUCACUAGAAUAAGUACAUUCUUUUUAUGUGUUCUGAAAAUUCACAUCAUUGGUUUUGGCCAGUAUGUGCAUCUUCUUGCAAUCCUACAAACUGUUAAUUGUGCAGUUAAUGAGAAAUGUCAUUAUGAAGCAGACAUGAGAAGAAGCAGUUGGAUAGUUCUCCCUUUAUCAUAUAUUAAUGCUCUAUAAGUAUAAAUAUGCAAAGUGAAAAUAAGCCAAUAAUUAAUAAAACAAAAUAUGCACAACCA